rnacentral:rRNA from 1 species
GACGAACGCUGGCGGCGCGCUUAACACAUGCAAGUCGUGCGGUGUCGAAGGCAAGUCUUACGACAAGCCUUCGACACAGCGGCGAACGGGUGAGUAACACGUGAGUAGCUGUCCUAAGGAGGGGGAUAACGCCUGGAAACGGGUGCUAACACCCCAUAUGCCUCGCAAGAGGUGAAAGUGUACUUGCUACAGCCUUAGGGUGUGCUCGCGGCCUAUCAGCUAGUUGGUGAGGUAACGGCUCACCAAGGCCAAGACGGGUAGCCGGCCUGAGAGGGUGUACGGCCACACUGGAAUUGAGAUACGGUCCAGACCCCUACGGGAGGCAGCAGUGGGGAAUCUUGGGCAAUGGGCGAAAGCCUGACCCAGCGACGCCGCGUUGGGGAUGAAGCCCUUCGGGGCGUAAACCCAUGUUGUAGGGGACGAAGAAAGUGACGGUACCCUACGAGAAAGCCCCGGCCAACUACGUG